CAGAGCCCGCCCGCUCCCCCGUGCUUUUCCCGCUCUACACCUGCCAGGACUGCGAGGAUCAGGUGACCUUCGCCUGCCUGGCUUCCGGUUUUUUCCCGUCGCCGGCCGAGAUCACGUGGGAGGGCGUGGCCGAGGGCGGGGCCAUCCGGGAGUUCCAGGAAGUGCUGAUGGGCGCCGGCCGCUACGACCGCAGCUCCCGGGUCACGGUGGGCGUGGCCGAGGCCGAGGGAGUGACCUUCCGGUGCCGGGCGGAGCAUCGGGGGAGCAGCGUCAGCAUCGACAUGGAAGGCUGCCCCCGCCCUCUCGUGGAUUUCUCCGUCUCCCUCCUGAGCGACCCCCAGCUGUCCCACCUGGAGCUGCCCCAGGUGCUCCUCCUCUGCCAGGUGAGGGGGCGGGGCUCCGACGAGGCCACCCUCACCUGGUUUGUCAACGGUGACGUCGCCGAGAUGGAGGCGGAGCUCUCCACCUGCGAGGAGGGCGGGGCCGGGGAGGUGACGCUGAGCGGCCGCGUCAACGUCAGCCGGGAAUUGUGGGAUGCGGGAGCCACCUUCACCUGCCAGGCGGGCCACGCCCAGCUGGCCACGCCCCGCAACGCCUCCAUCAGCACCUUCUGCAAAGCUUCCCGUCCCUCCCCUUCCAUCUCCCUCCUCCCUCCCUCCCUCCUGGACCUCUACCUGUCCACCACGCCCAACAUCACCUGCGUGGCCACCAACCUGAAAUCCCCGGAGCCCAAAUUCACCUGGAGCCGCUCCUCGGGCGGGGCCCUGGGCGUGGCCACUUCCGACCCCGCCCAGAAACUCCCCAACGGCUUCUACGAGGUGCAGAGCCACCUGGGGAUCUGCGCCGAGGAUUGGAACUCGGGCGACACCUUCACCUGCACCGUCACCGCCGAGGAGCUGGGGCCCACGGCCAUGGUCGGAACCAUCCGGAAGGACACGGGUCAGUGAGGGUUUUGGGGG